CGGACGGGUGAGUAAUGUCUGGGAAACCGCCUGAUGGAGGGGGAUAACUACUGGAAACGGUAGCUAAUACCGCAUAACGUCGCAAGACCAAAGAGGGGGACCUUCGGGCCUCUUGCCAUCGGAUGUGCCCAGAUGGGAUUAGCUAGUAGGUGGGGUAACGGCUCACCUAGGCGACGAUCCCUAGCUGGUCUGAGAGGAUGGCCAGCCACACUGGAACUGAGACACGGUCCAG
rnacentral:rRNA from 1 species